GACAGAGGGUGCUAGCGUUGUUCGGAAUGACUGGGCGUAAAGGGCGCGUAGGCGGUUAUAUUAGUCAAGCGUGAAAGCCCCGGGCUUAACCCGGGAAUUGCGCCUGAAACGGUAUGACUAGAGGACGAGAGAGGAAAGCGGAAUUCCUAGUGUAGAGGUGAAAUUCGUAGAUAUUAGGAGGAACAUCAGAGGCGAAGGCGGCUUUCUGGCUCGUUACUGACGCUGAGGCGCGAAAGCGUGGGGAGCAGACAGG
rnacentral:rRNA from 1 species